rnacentral:lncRNA from 1 species
UCAUACGAAACUGAAAUGCCACAUGUGGAAAAUGUUGCAAACCCUUUAUUAAACUUUCUUAUAUUUCUCAACACAAAGUAGUUCAAAUGGGAGUGAAAUAAUACAAAUGUUAAAUAUUCAUAAUAUGUUAACACUUCUUCAGACACUAAAAGCUCCCUGCUGAAUAGAAACCAGAUAAGAGUAAGCAAUGUGUGGUAAGUAAAGACUUUGGAAUCAUUCACACAAUCAUGCCAAAAGUAGAGCUGUCAGAUUGUAUGUUUGUUCUCUGGAUUUGGGGCUGAUCUUUCCUGGGUGUCUUUUGUUUCUUCUGUUUUAGAAUAAGAAUACUUAUUCUAUACCAGUGAGUAGUAAAAGUAGUCUCUUGUUCUUAUGUUGUAAGAGCUCACACAAAGAGAUUGCCUUGAGUGUCAUGUGACACAUGGACUGUGAGCUUUCAUAGUGUUGUAAUUAUUAAAUCUUGUAUGGACCUUUCAAGUUGUUAUUUUAUUUAUGAGAUGAAAGUAAGGUUGGAGAAAAGGGAAGAAAUGUUAAGAUUAAAGCUUUGUGGCUAAAGCUAGCAUGAUGACUUUGGGAACAAACUUAAUUGCCAACAAAACCUGUACCCAUGUUAGUAUUCCCAGUACAAUGAAAUGCAAAGGGGUAAUUAUCUCUGAAUGUUGUCCUCUGAUCUUCACGCAUUGGCUGACAUACAUACAUACAUACAUACAUACAUACAUACAUACAUACAUACACCCAGACAAAAUAAACCUAGAUUUAUAACAGCAAAAUUUCAACCCACAAAACGUCUACACAAUCAACUCAGAGCAAUUGAUAUUGAUACAAGCUGCCCACCUAGAUUGGACACAUUGCCCUAUUUUAUUCUAUGCUCUUUUAUGAUAUUCAUAGCUACCUGUGACUAUUUCAAGCCACAUGGAUCUGGUUGGUCCUCUUCCUCCAUCUUCUCUGUCCUUCUGUCUUUCCCCUGUCCUCUCUCUCUGAAACUCUUAGCUCCAUCUUCCUAUUUCACUGCCCAUUCACAGACUCUAGCCUUAUAUUUCACUGGCCCUCACCUGCAUAUCAACAGCAAUCCAUAGUGUGCUCUAUCAAAAAGCAAGAUCAUAUGAAACUGUUGCUUUCAAAUUAUUAUGAGCAUAUAGAAUGAAACACUGCUUUAAACUUGUCAAUGACAGUGUUCUGUAACUCCCAUUUUGUGUAACAUUUAAUCAACAAUGGAAUUUUCUAAAGAAUUUUUGUCUAAGAAGGUAUUAAAAGGCAAAAAUAAAUAAAUAAGGAGAAGUUAGUAGCUUGAGGGUAGGAGCUCUGCCUAUUCCAUCCAUCUAAAGGUGAUGUAGGCAUUUUCCACUUCAUCCGGUGUGUGUUUUCUAUGGGAGUGACUCUUUUUUUCUCUGAUUCACAAAGAAGUAAACUAGUAUGUCCUUUUAUAAAGUUCUUGGACCCCAUUUUUUUUUCCAUUUUUUAUUAGGUAUUUCGCUCAUUUACAUUUGCAAUGCUAUACCAAAAGUCCCCCAUAGCCACCCACCCCCUCUCCCCUACCCACCCACUCCCCUUUUAUGGCCCUGGCGUUCCCCUGUACUGGGGCAUAUAAAGUUUGCGUGUCCAAUGGGCCUCUCUUUCCAGUGAUGGCCGACUAGGCCAUCUUUUGAUGCAUAUGCAGCUAGAGUCAAGAGCUCCGGGGUACUGGUUAGUUCAUAAUGUUGUUCCACCUAUAGGGUUGCAGAUCCCUUUAGCUUCUUUGGUACUUUCUCUAGCUCCUUCAUUGGUGGACCCCAUUUUUUAAUCGAGUCAUUUGUUGUUUUGGAGGUUAUCUCCUUGAGUUCUCUAUAUAUUUUGGGUAUUGGAUGUAGGUUAGUGAAGAUUUGUUCCCUAUCUAUAGGUUGCUGAUUUCUCCUACUGACACUGUCCUUUGCCUUACAGAAGCUUUUCAGUUUCCUGAGGCCCCAUCUGUCAAUUGUUGAUCUUAGAGCCUGAGUCAUUGGCAUUCCAUUCAGGAAAUUUCCCCUGUACCAAUGAGUUCUAGGCUCUUUCCUACUUUCUCUUCUAUGAGAUUCCGUAUAUCUGGUUUUAUGUUGAGGUCCUUGAUCCACUUGGACUUGAACUUUGUACAAGGUGAUGAAUAGGGAUCUAUUUUCAUUCUUCUACAUGCAGGCCAGUUAGCCCAUCACCAUUUAUUGAAGAAGCUUUCAUUUAUUGUAUGGUUUUGGUUUCUUUUUCAAAAAUCAAGACUCUAUGUGUGUAGCUUUAUUUUUGAUUUUUCGAUUCUAUAGUACUCAUCGACCUGGCUGUCUUUGUACCAAAACCGUACACUCUUUAAUCACAAUUCCUCUGUAGUACAGCUUGAGGUCAGGAAUGGUGAUUCCUUCUGAAGUUAUUUUAUGGCUCAGGAUUGUUUUGGCUAUUAUUAUUUUUUGUUUUUCCAUAUGGAAUUGAAAGUUGCUCUUUCAAGGUCUAUAAAGAAUUGGAAUUUUGAUGGGGAUUCCUUUUAAACCAUAGAUUGCUUUUGGUAAGAUGACCAUUUUCACCUUGUUAAUCCUUGUUAUCCAUGACCAUGGAAGAUCUUUACAUCUUCUGAUAUCUUCUUCAAUUUAUUUAUUCAGGUACUUGAAAUUAUUGUCAUACAGAACUUUCACUUGCUUGAUUAGAUUUACAUCAAGCGAUUUUAUAUUAUUUGUAGGUAUUGUGAAGGAUAUUGUUUCCCUAAUUUCUUUCUCAGAAUAUUUUUAUCAUUUGCAUGAAGAAAGGUCACUGAUAUCUUUGAGUUAAUUUUAUGUACAGCCACUUUGCUGAAGUUGUUUCUCAGCUCUAGGACUUCUCUGGUAGAAUUUUCGGGGUCACUUAUGUAUACUAUCAUGCCAUCCAUUAAUAGUGAUGCCUUGACUUCUUCCUUUCCAAUUUUAAUCCCCUUGAUCACCUUUUGUUGUCUUGUGGCUCUAACUAUUACUUCAGUGACUAUAUUUAAUGGAUAGAGAGUGUUCAGCCUUGUCUUCUACCUGAUUUUAGUGCAAUUGCUGCUUCAUUCCAUUUAUUUUGAUAUUGGAUAGUGGUUUGCUGUACAUUGCUUUUGUUCCAUUUCGGUAUGUACCUCAAAGUCUUGCUCUUUCCAAGACUUGGAGGGUUGUUGGAUUUUAUUAAAGGCUUUUUCAUCAUCUAAUGAGAUGAUCAUAUGAUUUUUUUAACCCCCUUUUGGUUUGUUUAUAUUGAAAUUCUUUGAAUCUGUGGAUUACUUUGAUGGAUUUUUAUAUAGUGGGCCAUCCCUAUGUCCCUGGGAUGAGGCUUAUUUGAUCAUGCUGAAUGCUUUUGUUGUAUUUUUGGAUUCAGUUUGUGAAAAUUUUAUUGAGUAUUUUUGCAUCAAUGUUCAUAAGUAAAAUGGAUCUUAAGUUCUCUUUCCUUGUUGAGUCUUUGUGUAGUUUAUGUAUCAGGGUUACUGUGGCCUCAUAGAAUGAUUAAGGUAGUGUUCCUCCUGUUUCUAUUUUUUGAAAUAGUUUGGGGAGUAUUUGGUAUUAGUUCUUCUUUGAAAGACUAGUAGAGGGCUGGAGAGAUGGCUCAGCAGUUAAGAGCACUGACUGCUCUUCCAAAUGGUCCUGAGUUCAAAUCCAAGCAACCACAUAAUGGUUCACAACCACCUAUAAUGAGAUCUGUUGCCCUCUUCCGGUGCUUUUGAAGACAGCUACAGUGCACUUAUAAUAAUAAAUUAAUC